CGCUAGCUACAGGCUUAACACAUGCAAGUCGAGGGGCAGCAUGGUCUUAGCUUGCUAAGGCCGAUGGCGACCGGCGCACGGGUGAGUAACGCGUAUCCAACCUGCCUUACACUCUUGGACAGCCUUCUGAAAGGGAGAUUAAUACAAGAUGUUAUCAUGAGUAAGCAUUUUCGCAUGAUUAAAGGUUUACCGGUGUAAGAUGGGGAUGCGUUCCAUUAGAUAGUAGGCGGGGUAACGGCCCACCUAGUCUUCGAUGGAUAGGGGUUCUGAGAGGAAGGUCCCCCACAUUGGAACUGAGACACGGUCCAAACUCCUACGGGAGGCAGCAGUGAGGAAUAUUGGUCAAUGGACGAGAGUCUGAACCAGCCAAGUAGCGUGAAGGAUGAAGGUUCUAUGGAUUGUAAACUUCUUUUAUACGGGAAUAAACGAAUCCACGCGUGGAUUUUUGCAUGUACCGUAUGAAUAAGGAUCGGCUAACUCCGUGCCAGCAGCCGCGGUAAUACGGAGGAUCCGAGCGUUAUCCGGAUUUAUUGGGUUUAAAGGGAGCGUAGAUGGGUUGUUAAGUCAGUUGUGAAAGUUUGCGGCUCAACCGUAAAAUUGCAAUUGAUACUGGCAGUCUUGAGUACAGUUGAGGUAGGCGGAAUUCGUGGUGUAGCGGUGAAAUGCUUAGAUAUCACGAAGAACUCCGAUUGCGAAGGCAGCUUACUAACCUGUAACUGACAUUGAUGCUCGAAAGUGUGGGUAUCAAACAGGAUUAGAUACCCUGGUAGUCCACACGGUAAACGAUGAAUACUCGCUGUAGGCGAUAUACAGUCUGCGGCCAAGCGAAAGCAUUAAGUAUUCCACCUGGGGAGUACGCCGGCAACGGUGAAACUCAAAGGAAUUGACGGGGGCCCGCACAAGCGGAGGAACAUGUGGUUUAAUUCGAUGAUACGCGAGGAACCUUACCCGGGCUUAAAUUGCAACCGAAUAUGGCGGAAACGCUAUAGCUAGCAAUAGCGGUUGUGAAGGUGCUGCAUGGUUGUCGUCAGCUCGUGCCGUGAGGUGUCGGCUUAAGUGCCAUAACGAGCGCAACCCUUGCCGAUAGUUACUAACAGGUUAUGCUGAGGACUCUGUCGGGACUGCCAUCGUAAGAUGUGAGGAAGGUGGGGAUGACGUCAAAUCAGCACGGCCCUUACGUCCGGGGCUACACACGUGUUACAAUGGGGGGUACAGAGGGCUGCUACCACGCAAGUGGAUGCCAAUCCCAAAAACCUCUCUCAGUUCGGAUUGAAGUCUGCAACCCGACUUCAUGAAGCUGGAUUCGCUAGUAAUCGCGCAUCAGCCACGGCGCGGUGAAUACGUUCCCGGGCCUUGUACACACCGCCCGUCAAGCCAUGGGAGCCGGGGGUACCUGAAGUGCGUAACCGCAAGGAGCGCCCUAGGGUAAAACU
rnacentral:rRNA from 1 species